UACGAAGGGGGCUAGCGUUGUUCGGAUUUACUGGGCGUAAAGCGCACGUAGGCGGAUCGUUAAGUCGGUUGUGAAAUCCUGGAGCUCAACUCCAGAACUGCCUUCGAUACUGGCGAUCUUGAGUCCGGAAGAGGUGAGUGGAACUCCUAGUGUAGAGGUGGAAUUCGUAGAUAUUAGGAAGAACACCAGUGGCGAAGGCGGCUCACUGGUCCGGUACUGACGCUGAGGUGCGAAAGCGUGGGGAGCAAACAGG
rnacentral:rRNA from 1 species